CAAAGGCUUGGUCCUGACUUUACUAUCAGCUUUAACUCAAUUUAUACAUGCAAGUAUCCGCAUCCCCGUGAGAAUGCCCUCAAUCCUCUGUCCGAGAACGAGGAGCAAGCAUCAGGCACAAUCAACUUAAGCCCAAGACGCCUUGCUAAGCCACACCCACAAGGGAUUUCAGCAGUAAUAAAUAUUAAGCCAUAAGUGAAAACUUGACUUAGUUAGAGUUAAAAGGGCCGGUAAAAUUCGUGCCAGCCACCGCGGUUAUACGAAAGACCCUAGUUGAUAGACACGGCGUAAAGGGUGGUUAAGGAAAACAAAUUAAUAAAGCUAAAGACCCUCUAAGCUGUCAUACGCAUUCCGAGAACACGAAACCCAAACACGAAAGUCGCUUUAAAUACUAUACC
rnacentral:rRNA from 1 species